AGUGAACGCUGGCGGUAGGCCUAACACAUGCAAGUCGAACGGCAGCACAGUAAGAGCUUGCUCUUACGGGUGGCGGGUGGCGGACGGGUGAGGAAUACAUCGGAAUCUACUUUUUCGUGGGGGAUAACGUAGGGAAACUUACGCUAAUGCCGCAUACGACCUACGGGUGAAAGCAGGGGAUCUUCGGACCUUGCGCGAUUGAAUGAGCCGAUGUCGGAUUAGCUAGUUGGCGGGGUAAAGGCCCACCAAGGCGACGAUCCGUAGCUGGUCUGAGAGGAUGAUCGGCCACACUGGAACUGAGACACGGUCCAGACUCCUACGGGAGGCAGCAGUGGGGAAUAUUGGACAAAGGGCGCAAGCCUGAUCCAGCCAUACCGCGUGGGUGAAGAAGGCCUUCGGGUUGUAAAGCCCUUUUGUUGGGAAAGAAAAGCAGCAGGUUAAUACCCCGCUGUUCUGACGGUACCCAAAGAAUAAGCACCGGCUAACUUCGUG
rnacentral:rRNA from 1 species